UUUUUUGCUCAGUUGGUAGAGCAUGAGACUCUUAAUCUCAGGGUUGUGGGUUCGAGCCUCACGUUGGGCAAAA
rnacentral:tRNA from 1 species